rnacentral:rRNA from 1 species
GUGCCAGCAGCAGCGGUAAUACGGAGGGUGCAAGCGUUAUCCGGAUUUACUGGGUUUAAAGGGUGCGUAGGCGGAUUUGUAAGUCUGAGGUGAAAUCUCCGAGCUUAACUCGGAAACUGCCUUGGAUACUAUAGAUCUUGAAUGUCGUUGAGGUUAGCGGAAUAUGUCAUGUAGCGGUGAAAUGCUUAGAUAUGACAUAGAACACCUAUUGCGAAGGCAGCUGACUAAGCGAAAAUUGACGCUGAUGCACGAAAGCGUGGGAUCAAACAGGAUUAGAUACCCUGGUAGUCCACGCCCUAAACGAUGAUUACUCGACGUGCGCGAUACACAGUGCGCGUCUGAGCGAAAGCAUUAAGAAUCCACCUGGGAAUACGUUCGACAAGAAUGAAACUCAAAGG